rnacentral:lncRNA from 1 species
UUUUUUUUUGGUGGUGCUGGGGCUUGAACCCAGGACCUUGUGCAUGCAAGGCAAGCUCUCUGCCAACCGAGCUCUAUCCCCAGCCCCAUAAUUAUGUAUAAUGAUGGGAUUUGCUAUUACAUAUUCACACCCAGUGUCUUUUGGCCAAUAUCGUUCCCCUCUCCCUGCUCUUCUCUCCCUCCGUCUGGUUCCUCUACUGUACUGGUCUCAUGACACCCCCCACCUUUUUGAUUUUCCUCGGUAGCUCCCAUACAUAAAAGAAAACAUAUGACCCUCGAUUUUCUGAGUUUGGCUUGCUUUGAUUAACAUAAUGUUCUCAAGUUCCAUCCAUUUUCCUGCAAAUGCCAUAAUUUCAUUUUUUCUGUAUGGCUGAAUAAAAAUAUCAUUAUGCCCAGCCACAGUGGCACACACCUGUCAUCAC